AUAGGAGCGCGUAAAUUUCCUGUUAGCUCAAACUACUGCAAGGGGGAAUUCUUUACAGGCUUGCUCCGAGUCCUGUCAGAUGAAUUUUGUCAGUUGCGGCAAAGGUAGCGCAUGCGCAGUAAAGACAUCCUUAUCUCCGAAAUGGCUUCGUGGCUCUUCCUGUACAUGUAUGAGGAACGUUGUGAUUUAUUAGGGGCAGAAAUCGCUGCUUAUUGAUGAAUAUUAAACACCCACGUGAAAGAUAACCGGUUUUGCAGGUCAGAGGGUUGAUAACAGUUCUUUCAUUCGUUGAAAAGGAAGCAGAAUUUGACAAGAGUUAAAAAUAGAAGGAAGGAUUUUUAAAAAUUACAAGUUAAUAUAUCGACUUUGAUGCUGCUAAAGCAAAAAUUGUUAUGCUGAAAGAAAAACGUGAAUGGUUAAAAUGAAUGUUACAUGAAAACCUUGUCCAACAGGAUUGUUCUGAACCAGAUACCUUUACACCUGGAUUUCUACCUGGAAUUCAACUGCAAGUCAGAUAAAUGAAUGAGAAUGUUGUUAAGAUUGACAUUUUCGAGAAAGGAAAGAUAUUCAUCUGAAUUGGCUCAUUUUUAUUGAAAUUAUAGUUCAAUCAUCUAAAAAUGAAAAGAGUAAGAGAAAGUGGGGCUUCAUAUCGAAAUAAAAGAAAAGCCAAGGAAGAAAAUAAUAAAAAUAAGAAGGGGCUAUCCUAAAAUACGUGAAAGUUCCUAUUUCCAAAACGCCAGAUUCAUCCACUUUGGAUGUCAAUUCUUCCGAUACUUGCUGAUGCUGUUGAAAAUCAAAAAGCUGAAGUAGUGCUAGAACGUUACACUGAUGUUUGGGUACCUGUAUUUUAUUCUUCGAGUUUGUCAGAUUCACAGGCUCCUGUUGUAGAUGUGAAGGUAGCAGCACUCAAUCAAAUUCCAACAUCUACUAAAUUUGAACUUGUAUUGGUAUGUUCAAAUAUAGUUAUUGAUAGUUUUGAGAGUGAGACUGAUGAAGCACUGACAUCGGCUUCUACUCAGUACAGGGAUUUAGAUGAUGUUGGAAAAUGGCCUGAACAUAUGAAAACAUUAGAUUGCUACUUGUGCAGCGAGGUCCAGAGGUUGUACAGCACAUGAAGACUAAUUUCACUAAAGUGUCAUCAAUGUUACAAUUAGACACACAAAUCGUACUACACCGAAUGGAGUUACGAGGCAUCUAAAGCGAAAAUGGUUUUAUCGCACAUUAACUAAUGGAGAAAAAGUGUUGCAUAAUUGGACGGCUUAUUCUCCUUCUUAAGCAUCAUUAUUUUGCUUUUGUUAUCAUUUGUUUGGUCACACAAACCUACCGAGUGAAUCAAAAUUUUGCUCAUCUAAUUUUUUAAAAAUUGGCAUAAACUAAAUCCCAAAGUAGCCAACCACGAAUCUGCUUAACACAACCAAAAUUUUUGCAAAUGGAAGAAAUUAAAAACCAGACUUCAAAAAUGACAGACUAUUGAUAAAAAAAUAUAUGUUGUGGCAAAGGAAACAAAAGAGUGGGAAGAAAUUCUUGUUAGAAUGUUUGAUAUAAUUAAAUUCCUAGCAAAACAGAAUUUGGCCUUUCGUGGCCACAGGGCAGACAAUACCAGCGCAAAUAGAAGCAAUUUUUUAGAACUGGUGCAUCUCCUUGCAAAGUACGAUCCAGUACUCCGAGAACACAUUGUGUGUAGGAAAAUGGGUCCGAAAAAUUCAGUCACGUAUAUGUCACCGCAAAUUCAAAAUGAGUUCAUUGGAAUUUUAGGAGAUAAAGUUCUCCAAUAAAUUGUCUGUCAAGUACAAAAGGCCAAAUAUUAUUCUAUUAUAUUUGAUAGCACUCCAGAUAUUUCACAUAACGAUCAAACAAGUCAAGUUGUGCGAUAUGUAAAGAUUGAAAAUCAGAUAGUAGAAGUGGUGGAAUCUUUUAUAGAUUUCAUUGAAACCAAAAAUAAAACUGAUAAAAUUAUUUCUGGCAUGAUUUUAAGUAAGCUUAAAGCUAAUGGCCUUGAUAUAAUGGACUGCAGAGGUCAAACAUAUGAUUGUGCUCUUGUCAUGACUGGAAAGCAUACAGGAGUGCAUCAAAGACUCAAAGACAUACAUAAAAGCCAAAUUUGUACCAUGCUCAAACCAUUCACUAAACCUGGUUUGUUUACAUGCUGCUUCAAUCGAGACCAAUUCUGAUGCAUUCUUUUCCAUGUCAACACACCGAUGGGACAUUCUAAUUCGCUGCUACAGGUAAGACAUUAUGAAGAAUUCAGGCUACACUAUGCAGCGCCAAAACCUUAAGCAGUAGAUAUGGUAUGGAAGCACUAUAAGCUUAUUUUGACUGCUCUAGAAAAAUUGACAGAGGGAAGCGAAAAAUUAAGCACAUGAACAGAUGCAGAAACUUUGUUCGUCGCAAUGGAAUCAUUUUCUUUUUUAUGUUUUUUGGGCUUUUGGAAACCCAUACUGCAUUAGGUAAAUGAUGCCCAAAUUUAUUUACAAACACAGGGAUUCAGCAUGCAUCAGUGUGCCAAAAAAAUAAGUGCUUUGGGGGCACUGCUCACAGAGAAACGAAAUGAAUUGGUAGACGGUGCUAAGAGUUAUGGCAAAAAUUUGUGUGAAGACAUUGGCAUUUUAAUGGAACCGCCCAGACAAAUAAAGAGAAAGGAAAUUUUUGACAACGGAAGUAAAGAUGGAGCUUUGUUGUAUGAAAAUGAGUUGAGAAGAAAGUUGUUUUCAUCGCUGGAUAAGGUAACUGCAGAAAUUCAUGAGAGGUUUCGACAGCUAUGGAAUUUGUCAAACAAAUUUGCUUUUUUUACAGCAUCGAAACUACUGGAUGUUGAAAACCAGGAUUUCAAUUUAGAACACGUGUCUCAUGACCUUGAGAAAGAAGAGUUAAAGCUCGAAUGCGUGCGGCUAAAGACUUUUGUUGAUGCUACAGGCAAUAAAAAUGAAUUAAUGAAUUCCAGCCUGCUUGAUGUGUUAAAGCUUAUUGUACUAUUUAAGCUGGAUGUUUCCCUGCCUAAUAUGAUAAUAUUGCUUUGAAUAUUCCUCACAAUUGCAAUAAGCAAUGCCAGCUGUGAGAGAAGCUUCUCUAAACUGAAGAUAAUCAAAAAUUAGUUACGAUCGACACUGAGAUUGACUAAUCUGGCUGUUUUGGCUAUUGAGCAUGAAAUGAUGGAUUCAAUCUAUAUUGAUAGUGCUAUUAACGAUUUUGCUAUGAGGAAGAGUAGAAAACUGAAAAUUUAAAUUAAGAAAGGAGUUUAAUUUCUAUUUCUAAUAGAUAACAAAGGAGAUAAUCAAAAAGAAAAUUUAUAAUUAUUUUUACCAAUUGUUUCUUUUCAAUAAAAGAUUAA